CCAGCAAGGACAUGAUCGAGAGAGCUAGGGUUUCGGGGGAGGGGAGAGGUCAAGGGGACGAAGGGGUUAAAGAAAAGGGUCGGAGAGGAGAGGAGAGGAGAUGAGAGGAGAGAUAGGGGGAGCAACCGGGAUCGAAGCGGAGGCGUUAUCGAAGAUGCGGGGUAGCAGGGAUCGAAGAGGCGCGAGUAUCAAACCGGCGGGGCAGCAGGUGGGAAAAUUAAGAAUGGGAUUAAGCGUAAGAUGACACGUGGAUGACUAACACGGGGAUUAAUAGAGGAUAUAUAGAUAAUGUGGAUAUAUCUGUUUAUUGUAUGUUUACAGAAUAAUAUGGUGUGAUAACAUAUUUAUAUGCUGAUAAUGCUUAUAAUUAAAACAAAUAUAAAAAUUGUAAAUUAAAUUAAGAAAUAUCUAACUUAUAUAUUCAAAAUGAAAGAUUUAUAUAAAAUAAAUGCUAUGUUAAGAAUACAAGGGAAGAAACAUAAUGAGAGUUAUGCUUUGUAUCAAACACAUUAUCUUACGAAAUAAUU
rnacentral:lncRNA from 1 species